GAGUUUUGAGGUUAAAAUCGCGUUUGGGGUCCAUUUGGGGGAGCCCCGCCCUUUUCCCGCGGUCACGGCCCGCGUCCGCGGCCUUCAAACGUGGGGGAUGCUCAGGGGACCCGCGGUCCCGCCCCGCGGCCGCGGUUGGUGACCGCGGGUGUCUCUUGAGUCGGGAACAGCUGACCCGCGGUCUUACCCCGCGGCCGCGGGUGGUGACCGCGGGGUACUGGGCGUUUUGCACAGUCCGCUCGUUUUGCUCCGUUCUCCCUCGUCCGGACUCGGAUUUGGUCGCCGUUUGCGCUCACGGAUUCCUCUCGAGACGUACUUCGAUCUCAUGUCUUCAAAAUC
rnacentral:lncRNA from 1 species